GAUGUACUCCCUCCGUUCGAAAAUACUUGUCAUCAAAAUGGAUAAAAGGGCAUGUAUCUAGAUGUAUUUUAGAUUUUUAGUUCUAUAUACAUCUCUUUUUAUCCAUUUUGAUGACAAGUAUUUUCGGACGGAGGGAGUACACA
rfam:Triticum aestivum genome assembly, contig: Triticum_aestivum_CS42_TGACv1_scaffold_404651_5BL